GAACGGCUUUUUCUAAACUAAAACCUCAGUUUUCAGAUUAAAUUGCCGGGUUGGCACUUUGCGAUAAAUAAGUGGGUUUUGGGUUGCAAUUUGGGCACUCGGUCUCAAAAAGGUCUGCCAUCACUGAGAUAGAAUCUUGGACAGUGGUGGGAUCAAAAAAUUUUAGUAACAGGUUCC